rnacentral:ncRNA from 2 species
CGACCCCGUGCGGGAGAGUGCCCUCGCAGCCGGCGGGGGACGCCGAAGGAGCAACCCCUCCCCGGAACCUCUCAGGCCCACGGACCGCGCGGGACAG